rnacentral:rRNA from 1 species
CCCUUAGACGUUCUGGGCCGCACGCGCGCUACACUGACCAGUGCAACAAGCAUCCGUCCUUGGCCGAUAGGCUCGGGCAAUCUUUGAACGCUGGUCGUGAUGGGGAUAGACUUUUGCAAUUUUUGGUCUUCAACGAGGAAUUCCUAGUAAACGCAAGUCAUCAACUUGCAUUGAUUACGUCCCUGCCCUUUGUACACACCGCCCGUCGCACCUACCGAUUGAAUGGUCCGGUGAAGCCUCCGGAUUGGCGCGCACCUCGGUGCCGCCGAGAAGUUGGCUAAACCUUACCAUUUAGAGGAAGGUGAAGUCGUAACA